rnacentral:rRNA from 1 species
AGUGAACGCUGGCGGUAGGCCUAACACAUGCAAGUCGGACGGCAGCACAGUAAGAGCUUGCUCUUACGGGUGGCGAGUGGCGGACGGGUGAGGAAUACAUCGGAAUCUACUUUUUCGUGGGGGAUAACGUAGGGAAACUUACGCUAAUACCGCAUACGACCUACGGGUGAAAGCAGGGGAUCUUCGGACCUUGCGCGAUUGAAUGAGCCGAUGUCGGAUUAGCUAGUUGGCGGGGUAAAGGCCCACCAAGGCGACGAUCCGUAGCUGGUCUGAGAGGAUGAUCAGCCACACUGGAACUGAGACACGGUCCAGACUCCUACGGGAGGCAGCAGUGGGGAAUAUUGGACAAUGGGCGCAAGCCUGAUCCAGCCAUACCGCGUGGGUGAAGAAGGCCUUCGGGUUGUAAAGCCCUUUUGUUGGGAAAGAAAAGCAGCAGGUUAAGACCCCGCUGUUCUGACGGUACCCAAAGAAUAAGCACCGGCUAACUUCGU